rnacentral:rRNA from 1 species
UACGAAGGGGGCUAGCGUUGUUCGGAGUCACUGGGCGUAAAGGGUGCGUAGGCGGGUCUUUAAGUCAGGGGUGAAAUCCUGGAGCUCAACUCCAGAACUGCCUUUGAUACUGAGGAUCUUGAGUUCGGGAGAGGUGAGUGGAACUGCGAGUGUAGAGGUGAAAUUCGUAGAUAUUCGCAAGAACACCAGUGGCGAAGGCGGCUCACUGGCCCGAUACUGACGCUGAGGCACGAAAGCGUGGGGAGCAAACAGG